AACCACCAUUCGUUUAUCUCCGUCUCUUGCGUUGGAGCAAUGCCCCAUUCCCUCACAAGGUGGAGGCGAUGAUUAUCGAAACAAUAAAAAAAUUAAAAAAAUUUGAGGUGAUCCAGAUGAUACAGUCCAAGGAGGAUGAGGUGUACCUCCUGUCAUAAGAAAGGCCACAGGGGGCAGUUUCGAUACAGGGGUUCUGUCAUCUAGCCUACCCAGACGACAUCCAAUUAAUGAUUUAGAGGCACGUAUCAUUGCAUUUGAGAGGUCCCUGAUUAGUCACAGCUUUCACUUAGAGGACCCUCAAUCCAUCAAGGAUGUCGCAGCGAAGGAUGCACGAAUUCUUGCCUUCGAUGGAGGCUUUCGUGCAUCGAGAAGAUGCUCCACGAUAAAGGCUUGAUGCCACCAGAAGACAUUGUAGCCAUGAAAGCAGAUCCUAUCCAGGUGAGGAUAGAGCAUUUUUUUUGUACUUGAAGAACCCCAUCCGACUGACGUGGAUCCUGCUAUAUCUUGUAGCAGUGAAGCGAUGGAGAUCAAUUUCGUGGUUGAAGGGGAGUGCGAGAAAGAAGGUGCUGCCUCAAAACAUAUGUUCUCAUUAUGCAGGCAGGUAAAAAUGGAAGCUCGCGAGAGAAAGCCCAUGGAGAAGGGAAAGACCAUAUCAUUCCUUCCUAAGACCUACAAACAUGUAAGGAAGAAACACCAGAAGGAAAACAUAGGUGAAGGAAGCACAGCCUUACCCAUUAGCGAGAAUGAUGCAGAUGCUCAUUAGUGUUCAAUUUUGGAGUCUAUCACUAUUGUAUUGAUAGAGCUAAGUCAAGCAGUUAAGGAUCAAGGAGAUCCUUUCCCCUAGAGAGGUUUAGGAAUUUUUUGAUGUAUUAAUUAUGAAUCAUGUCGGUAAUUGUCUUUGUAUCGUGUGCUGGUAUGACAUAUGUUAAAUAUUCAAAAUACUUACUAAUUUUUUUUAUAUAUUUUAUCACUUUUAG